UAUAGUUUAGCCUGCUCACUGAUUAAAUUAAAGAGCCGCAGUAUUUUGACUGUGCGAAGGUAGCAUAAUAAAUUGUCUUUUAAAUAAAGGCUUGAAUGAAAGGUUGGACAAAGUAUCAUCUGUUUCUUAAAUAUUUAUUGAAUUUGACUUUUAAGUGAAAAGGCUUAAAUGAAUCAAGAAGACGAUAAGACCCUAUAAAUCUUUACAAGAAAUAUAUUUUAUAUUUUAAAUUAUAAGUGUAUAAGAAAUAAAAAUAUAAGGUUGUUGCGCUGGGGCGGCGUAGAUAUAUAAAUAAACUGUCUAUGGUUUAAAUACAGUAAUUAUUGCUUAAUAUAAAUUGAUCCUUAAAUAGAUUAAAAGAUUAAGAUACUUUAGGGAUAACAGCGUUAUUUUUUUUGAGAGUUCCUAUCGAAGAAAAAGUUUGCGACCUCGAUGUUGAAUUAAAGUUUCUUUAUGGUGUAGCCGCUAUAAAAGAGAGUCUGUUCGACUUUUAAUAC
rnacentral:rRNA from 1 species